rfam:Schistosoma mattheei strain Denwood, Zambia genome assembly, scaffold: SMTD_scaffold0005196
GCACUGUUGAGGAGUCUAACGAUAGGACGAAACAGCCGUCCAGUGC